GAACGGGUGAGUAACACGUGGGCAAUCUGCCCUUCACUCUGGGACAAGCCCUGGAAACGGGGUCUAAUACCGGAUACGACACGGGGUCGCAUGACCUCCGUGUGGAAAGCUCCGGCGGUGAAGGAUGAGCCCGCGGCCUAUCAGCUUGUUGGUGGGGUGAUGGCCUACCAAGGCGACGACGGGUAGCCGGCCUGAGAGGGCGACCGGCCACACUGGGACUGAGACACGGCCCAGACUCCUACGGGAGGCAGCAGUGGGGAAUAUUGCACAAUGGGCGAAAGCCUGAUGCAGCGACGCCGCGUGAGGGAUGACGGCCUUCGGGUUGUAAACCUCUUUCAGCAGGGAAGAAGCGAGAGUGACGGUACCUGCAGAAGAAGCGCCGGCUAACUACGUGCCAGCAGCCGCGGUAAUACGUAGGGCGCAAGCGUUGUCCGGAAUUAUUGGGCGUAAAGAGCUCGUAGGCGGCUUGUCACGUCGGAUGUGAAAGCCCGGGGCUUAACCCCGGGUCUGCAUUCGAUACGGGCAGGCUAGAGUUCGGUAGGGGAGAUCGGAAUUCCUGGUGUAGCGGUGAAAUGCGCAGAUAUCAGGAGGAACACCGGUGGCGAAGGCGGAUCUCUGGGCCGAUACUGACGCUGAGGAGCGAAA
rnacentral:rRNA from 6 species